GGUGGGUGCGGAGUGGGGGCAUCUGAUGUGCAUGUCCUGCCUUGCCAUCCAUGGUGAUGGGGACGGCCAGCAGGAUUCAGCCAAGGGUGGAUAUGUGUGUGUCUGUGUUUUGUGGCCCUUUACGGAGCGUGCAGCCUCCCUUCUGAAAAAGCAACCAGGAGCAGGCAGAGAGGGGAAACUACAGGUCGCCGUGAGUCAACCUGCCUCCAGAACCUCAGAGCUUCCCUGGUGGGCUCCCCCGGGAUCCCCAGUGUCUCUCUGCGCCUCCACCCAUCCCUCGGUUCUUAACUCUUCAAGCCUUAACGGAGGUCUGCUCUGACGGGUGGGCUCUGCCAGAGCCCGGGUGAGCCCAGAAAGGAAGACAGCAGCCACCGUCUGCCCCGAAGAGGCAGGCCGUCCUGUAGGUCCUAGAGGAGCCACAGCCCACGGGCAGAUGAAGGGGCUGCGGAAGACGGGGGUAGUCCUGGGGGUGCUGCGGCUACACCACCACCCGCGCGGCCCCCACAGCCCAGACCUCCCAGGCCUGUGACCCUCCACACCAGCCCUCAGAACCCUCCUGGGCUUGCCCUCCCUUGGCGUCCGUCACCCUUUGGCAAAUAUAGAAUAUUUCACAUUCUC
rnacentral:lncRNA from 1 species